rnacentral:rRNA from 1 species
AGCGAACGCUGGCGGCAGGCUUAACACAUGCAAGUCGAGCGGGCAUCCUUGUGGUGUCAGCGGCAGACGGGUGAGUAACGCGUGGGAACGUGCCCUUCGGUUCGGAAUAACUCAGGGAAACUUGAGCUAAUACCGGAUACGUGCGAGAGCAGAAAGUUUUAUCUGACGAAGGAGCGGCCCGCGUCUGAUUAGCUAGUUGGUGAGGUUACGGCUCACCAAGGCGACGAUCAGUAGCUGGUCUGAGAGGAUGGUCAGGCACACUGGGACUGAGACACGGCCCAGACUCCUACGGAAGGCGGCAGUGGGGAAUAGUGGACAAUGGGGGCAGCCCUGAUCCAGCCAUGCCGCGUGAGUGAUGACGGCCUUAGGGUUGUAAAGCUCUUUUCUCCGGGACGAUAAUGACGGUACCGGAGGAAUAAGCCCCGGCUAACUUCGUG